UCACAGGAAACAAGCUAUGACCAUGAUUACGCCAAGCUUGGUACCGAGCUCGGAUCCACUAGUAACGGCCGCCAGUGUGCUGGAAUUCGGCUUAUUACCGCGGCUGCUGGCACGGAGUUAGCCGGUGCUUCUUGUAUAGGUAACGUCAAGGUUGGCAGGUAUUAACUACCAACUUUUCCUCCCUAUUGAAAGUGCUUUACAACCCUAGAGUCUUCUUCACACACGCGGCAUGGCUGCGUCAGGCUUUCGCCCAUUGCGCAAUAUUCCCCACUGCUGCCUCCCGUAGG
rnacentral:rRNA from 1 species